rnacentral:rRNA from 1 species
AGCGAACGCUGGCGGCAGGCCUAACACAUGCAAGUCGAACGCACCUUCGGGUGAGUGGCGGACGGGUGAGUAACACGUGGGAACGUACCUUUAGGUUCGGAAUAACGCAGGGAAACUUGCGCUAAUACCGAAUGUGCCCUUCGGGGAAAGGAUUUAUCGCCUUUAGAGCGGCCCGCGUUAGAUUAGCUAGUUGGUGGGGUAAUGGCUCACCAAGGCUACGAUCUAUAGCUGGUCUGAGAGGAUGAUCAGCCACACUGGGACUGAGACACGGCCCAGACUCCUACGGGAGGGCAGCAGUGGGGAAGUCUUGCGCAAUGGGCGAAAGCCUGACGCAGCCAUGCCGCGUGAAUGAUGAAGGUCUUAGGAUUGUAAAAUUCUUUUAGUCAGGGACGAUAAUGACGGUACCUGCAGAAAA